UCGAGAGGGAAGAGUCCAUGCAUCCGCACCACUUGGUGCCUCCUGCCUCCCAGGGGCCCUGGGCAGAUGACUUCCAUCCCUCUGUCCCCUUCCCACGCCCAUGAUUAGCACCCGGCGAGCCCCGAGCACAGGCUCCAAGCCCAUUCAUCAAACAAGUGACGGAACAGACGUGCUGGUGGACGGCCCUGACGGCAGUCCCGUACUGUGGAGAUCGCACCCUCGCAAUCCUGUGUGUGUGCACAUCUCCCCCAAAUAUAUCAUCACGGAUCUGCUUGAGAAGAGACACCAAAUGCCAGCUCCAUGGAGCAGUAAAGCUAACCAGCCGUGCAGAGUUAGCAGCAAGAAUGAAAUAGUGGAAGGCUCCGGUGGUUUUAUGGGAAAGCUUAUAUCUUAAUGAAAGGCCAGCCCAAAGCAACACUGAGUGUGUGAGACGUCACAAAGCUGACGGACCCCUCGCUGUCUCUUGCCGCUUUUGCCAUCCAGGCCCUCUAGGGACAUACAUUCAGGUGCUGUUAGCACAGAAAAUAAACUUGAAAACAACCCCAGUGAUCCCAACCAGGCAAGCUGCAAAAAGGUAAAGUGCCGUCCGAUAGAAUCUGUAUGAAACUCAUGAACGACACGGUGUCCCAACGGCCCACGUACCCCUCUGCUGGGGAUGGGGUAGCGAAUGGCAGGUGAGAGCCCCGGAGCUGGUGAAUGCCUUGAAGGUUUGAAAUAUUUCAUAAUUUAGAAAAUCCAUACAUCUGUGGCUUCCGACAGAGGCGACAAGCCUGUUCACCAGUUCCUGCGUGAGCCCCACUGCCACCACCACCACCUCACCCUGGCUCUAGCUUCCACUACGACUCCCCACCCCACCCCCCACCCCUGACCCCAUGUCUGAUUCUCUUUGGAUGCUUUGGGCCAAGAUUUUUUCUGUCUUUUGAACAUGAAAACCUGCCUGUUUUCAUCUCCCAUCACAGGCACUUCCUAGGCUGCUGAGUGAGGGACCCUGCCACAGACUUAGCGCUCUGGCAGAUUUAUGCUCUGCUUCUCCGUGGAUUUGGAGAUUUACACUGGGGAUAUGGCAGGGCACCAAUUAAAGGCAGGAUGCAAAUGAACCCGUCUUAAAGAGCUUACCAGGGGCAAGCCUGGCCCUGCAGUCAACAAUAAGAAUGGCUGGGGGGGAGGUGUCAGGGGAAUUACCUGCCCAGCUAUCAUCCUUAAAUGGAGAAGUCCAAAGGGGCUGCAGGAAGGGGAAGAUGAGAGUCCAGGACACAGGUAAGGGAAAAGCAGUCCCGGGUCCCCCCACCACCCAGGGAGAUGUGCAGGAGAUGGAGAGCAUCUGCACCAGCUUCUGGGGGAGAGUCACCAGCUUCCUGGGUGGCCAGGGGCAGCUGUGGCAGGCUCCUGAUCCCCCAACUUCCUGGCUGAUCUGGGCCAGUUUGCCAGAUGGGCCAGUUCUGUAGUGAUGCUCAGGGCUGAUUCCUAGUGGCCCAAAAGCAAGAUGGUGCCUCCAGACUUUCCAGUGAUGGUGGUUAGCACCGGAUCCCCUGUACGACAGCUCUUCCUGCUUACGACAGCUGAGUGUUAUGGACUGGAUGUUUGUGUUCCCCAUAAUUCAUAGGCUGAAACCCUAACCCCCAGUAUGAUGAGGUUAAGAGGUUUAGAUGAGGCCACGUAGGUGGAGCCCGCCCUGGGAUUAGGAUCCUUAUAAGAAGGGGAAGAGAGGGGCACCUGGGUGGUUCAGCACUUGAGCGUCUACUUUUGGCUCAGGGCGUGAUCCCGGGGUCCUGGGAUCGAGUCCCCCAUCAGGCUCACAGCAGGGAGCCUGCCUCUACCUCUGCCUAUGUCUCUGUCUCUCUUUGUGUGUCUCUCAUGAAUAAAUAAAUAAAAACUAAAAAAAAGGGGGGGAGGGGAAGAGAGACCACCUCCCUUGCUCCUCUCUCAGGCAGGUGAGGACACAGCAGGAAGUGACAUGUGCAAGCAAGAAGGAGACUCCUCACCAGACACUGAACUCACCGGCCCCCUCAUCUGGCACUUGCAGCCUCUAGAAGCCUCCCCAAGCCUGUGGUGUUUUGUCAUAGCAGCCCAAGCUGUCUAAUACACUGUGUGAUUUGGGAUUUUGCCAUGUUCCCCAACUGUUACCCUGUACACACAGGCAGCCCUGCACUUGCCACGUCUUUGCACAUGCUCUUCCCUCUGCUCAGCCUGCCCUUCCUUCCACCCAACAACCAGCUGGACUCCUACUCACCCUUAAGGCAAAGCUGAUGCGCCGCCGUUCUUCAGGUGUCCUUCCUGGCAUCUCUACUGGUGCCCAUGACGCACAGAGGUAGCAGCUUCCUCCCGGGCCCCCAGCACUUGGACCAGCAUUCGUUAGUGCAAGAGUCAGCAAAUACUGACCCGACGCCCGCCAGUGUCCUCACCACUGGAGCUCCGCAGUGACAAGUACAGCAUAGACCAGGAAGGUACAGUUUCCCAGCCAGUCCUGCUCUUUAUGAGCUGGGUGACCUGGGGCAACUCCUGAACUUCUCUGUGUCCCGUCUGAAAAGUGAGGCUGUCGGGACUGUUAACCCUUGUAAAUGGCCUGGCAAGGUCCCCAGCACAGGUUGGGCUACACAGGUGAUGGUAACAACCAACAAGCAGACAGACGUGGGAAAAACUCUGCCCCCGCCCUGAGAGCCAUGAAGGGAAUAGUCUGUCUACGGAGGUCAGGGAGGGCUUCCCGGAGGAGGCGAUGCUUGAGUGGAGGCAACUUGGACACUUCUGGGCAUCUGCCAUCAUGGAUAAGGAGCCUCCUAGGCUGUGAUUCCAGCCAGGACAGGCCAGGCACUCCCUCCAGCAGAAGGAGGCGGGCUGCGCCAGGCCAUGGCAGGGUUGGUCUGAGGGAGGAAGCCUGCCGGCAGAGGGUUAGGAAAGUCCCUCUACCCUUGUCCCCAUGUCCCUCCCCCUCAAGGCCCAGACCUGGCCCACAGUGGGCAUGAGACAGAUGCAAGAGGCCCGAGGGACUUCAGGGUGCUCCUGAGGGUGGAGGCCCCACCCCCUGCAUCAGCGCCAAAGCCAGAGAAAGACAAACGAGACAUGAGACAAUGUUGUCACAUGAAUCAGUGUCUGAAUCUGCCAAAUUUUCAUCUUGCUGUGAUUAAAAACCAGCUAGAGCAUCAUAAACUUGCUCCGGCUUCGGGCGGUAGCAGCUGAACAUCAGUCACUGGGUCACAGGCAGCUGGGCCCCAAAGCACUCUCCGGGGGAGGGACGCCCGCUUAUCAGGCUCCUACUGCUCACCUGGAGCUGUGGGAGUACUCCCCAAGGUCAACCUCCCAAAGGAGGGUCCUGCUGCUGGCCCCUCUUAGUGACAAAACAGGCUCAGAGACGACAAGUAACCAGCUGCGGUCACAGAGCCUGGAGCAAGCAGCAGAGCUGGACUUGAAUCCUGGCCUGCUGCCCUUUUGCCUGGGUCUGGGUAAGGCCAGGAGGCAGGUGCUGGUCGUGACAGGGGCAAACACAGAAGCUGGUUGCUGGGUGGGUGGGUUCAAUACAACCGAAGAGACAGCAGUCAAAUUCACAGACCCCAGAGCCAACCUGCCUGCCCCUCACUGCCUUGUGACCGUGACCAGCUCCGUGACCUCUGUGGGCUUCAACCUGCGCAUCUAUAAAAUAAAGGUACCGCUUGCCCACUUCAGGGAGUGUGGGGAGGAUUAGAGAAAUAACAGCAAGCACAGCACCCAGAGGAGAGUAAGGCAGGAUCAGGAUCCUGCAAACGUCACCUCUCAGUGCUGUUUACAGAGCUGGGCACUGUCCUUAACGUGGGGGUACAGCGGCGAGGGCACGAGACCUCCGCUGUCUGGGAGCUUGGGGUCUCCUGCAGGAAAGUGAGGGGUGGUGCUGGUGGCAAGGGGGUCUCUCUGGGAGCCUGCCACCCCGCUGACAUGAUAACGGCUGCUCACAAAAAAGGAAAGCAACCUGGGGGUCCCUCUGUAGGCCACCGGCUAAGAUGCGCUGAGGGGUUACAGGACAGCACAGGGAACUGUUCCGGGAAUACAAAGGCAGCUGCGGAACAUUCUGCACGCAGUGUAAUUCUAUUUAUGAGAGAGGAAGACGCACACAGAGCACUGUCCACUUAAUGCUUGUGUGUGCCUGAAAAUGCACAAAAAAUUUCCACCAGGAUACACUGCAAACGGACGUCAGUGGGUAUCUGUGGGAGGGGCCAGGCUGGGAACGCUGGGCAAAAGGCACUUGGGCCCCCUUGCAGCUUUAAUCAGCCACACAGAGAACGUGGUCAUGCGUUGUUUAUUCACAAUGAACGCUGUGGAUGAAGUUACUGAACCAGCAUGUUUUUCUCGGAUGUGGCUCUUCAGGACAGGGGCCAAGUGCUCGGGUGUUAGGUGGGGGCCCAAGCCUGAGGACUGGCAAAAGGGGGACAUGAGUGUGUAUUCCCAGAGAGGGACAGAGUGGCCACAGGUGAUGCUCAGAGCAGGCGUACCGAGCAGGGGCCAUCAAAAACCUCCUGAGUCAACAGAGGGCAACAAACCCACAACAUGGAUGGAGCUCCUAUUACGUGGUGGACCUUGCCCUGCCUGCCAGGUGAGGGGGCAGUGGAGGAAGCCAUCCAGGGACCUCCCAUCCCAGGGAGGGCCGAAGGGGUUGUAUAGGCAGAUGAGAGUGGACCAUAGUGCCAGACAGUAAUUUUGGCUUCGAGAGCCCAAUUUUCUCUGUCAUAACUACUCUGACUUUGCCAGUUUUCUCUCCAAAGCAGCUGUCGACAAUACACAAGUGAAUGGUGUGGCCAGGUUCCAAUAAAACUUUACAAAAACAGAACAGAACAGAGACCCCAAAAAUAAACCUUCACAUACACAGUCAAGUGGUCUUUGACAGGAGGGCCAAGACCACUCCACGGGGAAAGGUCAGUCUUCAAGGAAUGGUGCCUCGAAACCUGGAUUCCACAAACAGAAGAAUCGGACCCAUACCUCAUAUCAUAUACAAAAAUCAAUUCAAACGGAUCAAAGACCUUCACACAAGAGCUAAAACUAUAAAGAUCUUCAAAGAAAACAUAGGGAAAGCUUCACAACACUGGAUUUGGCAAUGAUUUUUUUUUUUUUUUUUUUUGGAUAGGACACCAAAGCAGUCAUAGACCAAACAUAUGCAGGCAUCAAAAGAAAAAAAUGUUAAACUGGAAUUCAUCAAACUAAAGACUUCUGUACAUGGGAGGACACAUCAGCAGAGAAGAAAACCCACAGGGUGAAAGGAAAUAUUUGCAAAUCAUGGAUUUGAUAAGGGAUUGAUAUCAAGAAUGAAUAAAGAGCUGCUAAAACUCAACAACAGUGGAAAACAAUCCAAUUCAAAAAUGGUUGAAGGGCUUCAAUGGGUACACAAAUGAUCAAUAGGCAUGUGAAAGGAUGCUCAAUUUAGGGAAAUGCAAAUCAAAACCACAGCAGGAUACCACUUCAUACCAUGUAUGACUAUUACCAAAGCAAGUGUUGGUUAAGAUGUGGGGGAAAUGGACCUCUUGUGCACUGUAGGUGGGAAUGUAACAUGGCGCAGCAGCUGUGGGAACCAGUAGAGUUGUUCCUCAAAAAACUGACUAUAGCAUUACCAUAUGACCCAGCUAUUCCACUGCUGGGUAGAAACCCAAAAGAAUUGGAAGUGGGGUUUCACCAUGUUCAGAGCAGCAUUACUCAUAAUACCUGAAAGGUGGAAAUAAAUCAAGUGUCCAACAAUGGAUGAAUGGAUAAAACAAAAUGUGGUCUAUCCAUACGAUAGAAUAUUACUCUUCCCUGAAAAAGAAAGAAACUCUGACACGUCCUGCAGCAUGGAUAAAUCUUGAGGACAUCAUAAAAGUGAAAUAAACCAGUCACAAAAGGACAAACACUGUAUGACUUCACUUGUACGAGGUCCCUAGAGUCGUCAAACUCGCAGAGACACUAAGCAGCAUGGGGCUGCCAGAUGUGGCGGAGGGGAGUGGGGAUUUAGUGUGUAACGGGGACAGAAUUUCAGUCUGGGAUGAUGGAAAAGUUCUGGAGAUGGGCGGUGGGGUGGUCACACAGUGUAUGUACUCAGGGAAUGUACUCA